CCCCACCUCCCCAGACCGGAGCCAGACCUUUGUAAUCCCCAGCUUCCCGCUGAUCAUCUUCGGGGAAGAGCUGGGAGCUGGGAGCGUUGCAAUGAGAGCAGGCAGCAUUCAUGUCCUCAGGGAGAGUGGAGCUUUAUCAGGCAGAAAAAUGAUUGAAUUCUUUUGUGUGUGUCUUUUAAAACGGGGCAAAAUCACCUCCAAAUGAUGAUAGCUUUUAGGAUUUUUGAAAGAGGAAAUUGAAUAUGUGCUUUUCUAAGUUCCGAGGUAUUGAUUGAGGACUAAUGGAGGGAAAUGGAUAAUUGGCUAAUUGAUCGGGUAAUUUAUAUUCUCCAACAAUCACCAGGUCGAGGGUGUCCCCCGCUGGCUAUGGCCUGGCCCCUUGUGAGAUCUGCCGAGCUGUUGAAGGCUGGAGACCCCAUCCUGCAUGCCAGGCUGUGUCAGGGAUCGCCAAGGCAACUCUCAGGAUUUUCAACAGCUCUAGGCCCUGGGCCCUGUGUCCAUCGGGAUGGAAGAGCCAAGUGGGAGGCUCGUGCCCUCAGACAGGAACCUGGUAGGUACAAGGCUGCAUCUUUGUGCACUGGGCUCCUGGGAAGGCUGGGAAUGGCCAUGGCUUUGUCCUGGGCAGUGGGCCUGACAAUAAUGUCAGGACAGAGCCACUCACUGCCUGAAGGUGUCAAUGAGCAUAGGCUUGAACCUAAGACAGACCUGAUCAGUAUUCUGGAUGGUUCUUCACAAGUUUUUGUUUGUUUGUUUGUUUGA
rnacentral:lncRNA from 1 species